GGCGAUGUAGCUCAGUGGUAGAGUGCUUGCCUGACAUGUGUGAGGGCCUGGGUUUGAUCCCCAGUACUGCCC
rnacentral:tRNA from 1 species